UGGCGGACGGGUGAGUAACGCGUGGAAAACCUGCCGUAUACUGGGGGAUAACACUUAGAAAUAGGUGCUAAUACCGCAUAAGCGCACAGCUUCGCAUGAAGCGGUGUGAAAAACUCUGGUGGUAUACGAUGGUUCCGCGUCUGAUUAGCUAGUUGGUGGGGUAAUGGCCUACCAAGGCAACGAUCAGUAGCCGGCCUGAGAGGGUGAACGGCCACAUUGGGACUGAGACACGGUCCAAACUCCUACGGAAGGCAGCAG
rnacentral:rRNA from 1 species